UGGAUUCCCUACUUAAAGAAGGCUUGGGCUAGCCAGUGGCACAGUAGGUUGCUGGCAGUACGUAACCACUCAACAGGACCAAGACAGGAACUGUGGCCACCAUCUCCAUUAACUAAGGAGGAAGGCAAGGCUCUGGGAUUACUGGAUCCUGCCUACAGUGGUAUGACCAUCAGUGGCAGGUCCAGCUUUCUUAUGACCCCUCUGAGCAUCAUCAUUGCUGCAUUUACUGCUAAUCU